GAUGUCUUCAGCGAAGAAUUUAGUAUUUCAAGAUCAUUUAUGAGCAGGCAGAAUCAUGCAAAUAAAAGCGAGAACUUCUCUGCUUUACAUUCACAAGCCCAUUUAAUUUGCUGAACUGCGGCUGCUCCAAGUUCUUUCCUCAUUUAUAUUCUGAAAGUAAUAAAAGAUUUAUUGAGCUUAAUUACUUUCCCCUGGGGCUAGACUAUAUGGGCAGCGGCUAUGUUAUUGACACUGCCGAAAGCUUGCUAAUUACAAUCUCAGGCACAUUCACAGAUUGUAGCUGUUCUUGCUGUAAGUUUUGCUUCUGCUCUAUUGAUGUUAUUGUUGGUAGUAUUGGCUAUAGCCUAUUGCGGUUAUGUUGUUUAUGCGAAUUGAGCCAAGCAACGAAGGUUUAAGACGUUGAAAUUACGUGCUCAGCCCAAUAAAUUUCUGACGUUUAUAAAUUCAAAGAUUC
rnacentral:lncRNA from 1 species